UACGGGGGGGCAAGCGUUGUUCGGAAUUACUGGGCGUAAAGGGCUCGUAGGUGGCCAACUAAGUCAGACGUGAAAUCCCUCGGCUUAACCGGGGAACUGCGUCUGAUACUGGAUGGCUUGAGUUCGGGAGAGGGAUGCGGAAUUCCAGGUGUAGCGGUGAAAUGCGUAGAUAUCUGGAGGAACACCGGUGGCGAAGGCGGCAUCCUGGACCGACACUGA
rnacentral:rRNA from 1 species